rnacentral:rRNA from 1 species
CUGCAGCUCAAGUGGUGAUCACUAUUAUUGGGCCUAAAACGUUCGUAGCCGGUUUGGUAAAUGCCUGGGUAAAUCGUGUAGCUUAACUAUACGAAUUCCGGGUAGACUGCCAAACUUGAGACCGGGAGAAGCUAGAGGUACUCCUGGGGUAGAGGUGAAAUUCUGUAAUCCUGGGGGGACCACCAGUGGCGAAGGCGUCUAGCUAGAACGGGUCUGACGGUGAGGAACGAAGCCCUGGGGCGCAAACCGGAUUAGAUACCCGAGUAGUCC